rnacentral:rRNA from 1 species
CAUGCAAGUCGAACGGUAACAGGAAGCAGCUUGCUGCUUCGCUGACGAGUGGCGGACGGGUGAGUAAUGUCUGGGGAUCUGCCCGAUGGAGGGGGAUAACCACUGGAAACGGUGGCUAAUACCGCAUAACGUCGCAAGACCAAAGUGGGGGACCUUCGGGCCUCACACCAUCGGAUGAACCCAGAUGGGAUUAGCUAGUAGGUGGGGUAACGGCUCACCUAGGCGACGAUCCCUAGCUGGUCUGAGAGGAUGACCAGCCACACUGGAACUGAGACACGGUCCAGACUCCUACGGGAGGCAGCAGUGGGGAAUAUUGCACAAUGGGCGCAAGCCUGAUGCAGCCAUGCCGCGUGUAUGAAGAAGGCCUUCGGGUUGUAAAGUACUUUCAGCGGGGAGGAAGGGAUGGUGCUUAAUACGCGCCGUCAUUGACGUUACCCGCAGAAGAAGCACCGGCUAACUCCGUGCCAG